rnacentral:rRNA from 1 species
UGGAUCCAGACUUUGAUUAUGGCUCAGGAUGAACGCUAGCUACAGGCUUAACACAUGCAAGUCGAGGGGAAACGACAUCGAAAGCUUGCUUUUGAUGGGCGUCGACCGGCGCACGGGUGAGUAACGCGUAUCCAACCUGCCCAUCACUUGGGAAUAACCUUGCGAAAGUAAGACUAAUGCCCAAUGAUAUCCCACGAAGGCAUCCGAAUGGGAUUAAAGAUUUAUCGGUGAUGGAUGGGGAUGCGUCUGAUUAGCUUGUUGGCGGGGUAACGGCCCACCAAGGCAACGAUCAGUAGGGGUUCUGGGAGGAAGGUCCCCCACAUUGGAACUGAGACACGGUCCAAACUCCUACGGGAGGCAGCAGUGAGGAAUACUCGUCAAUGGGCGAGAGCCUGAACCAGCCAAGUAGCGUGCAGGAUGACGGCCCUAUGGGUUGUAAACUGCUUUUAUAAGGGAAUAAAGUGAGUCUCGUGAGACUUUUUGCAUGUACCUUAUGAAUAAGGACCGGCUAAUUCCGUGCCAGCAGCCGCGGUAAUACGGAAGGUCCGGGCGUUAUCCGGAUUUAUUGGGUUUAAAGGGAGCGUAGGCCGGAGAUUAAGCGUGUUGUGAAAUGUAGUGGCUCAACCUCUGCACUGCAGCGCGAACUGGUCUUCUUGAGUACGCACAACGUGGGCGGAAUUCGUGGUGUAGCGGUGAAAUGCUUAGAUAUCACGAAGAACUCCGAUUGCGAAGGCAGCUCACGGGAGCGCAACUGACGCUGAAGCUCGAAAGUGCGGGUAUCGAACAGGAUUAGAUACCCUGGUAGUCCGCACGGUAAACGAUGGAUGCCCGCUGUUGGCCUGAAUAGGUCAGCGGCCAAGCGAAAGCAUUAAGCAUCCCACCUGGGGAGUACGCCGGCAACGGUGCAACU